AGUGACUACCUCUAUGUGUAACGCAUUUAUGAGAUCAAGUCUUGUUGCUUUGCUCUGUAGGCCCCUUUCUCUGGUUUCUUCUGUAACAUCGUCUCAUCGUCUUCGUCGUUAUGUUUCAAGCUAUUUGAGAAAUUAACAGGAAUAUUAGCGAUGAAGAAAGAGCAUCAAAAUCUACUUCUCCGACCAGAGACGAGGAGCCGGAGGGGGUUUUGUUCAGAAAAUACGAGAUUCGCAAGUUCCUCGGCGUUGGGGGUUUCGCUAAGGUUUAUGAAGAGUCCGACGUUGUUACGAAGGAGAGUGUGGCCAUUAAGGUCGUGAGCAAGCGCAGGAUAGUUGAAGCCUGGCUCACGACGCAGCUUCACAGGGAAAUCACUAUCAUGCGCCGGCUUAAUAAUCCCCAUAUUGUCAAGCUCUACGAGGUCGUUGCCACCAAGACCAAGAUUUACUUCGUCAGGAGUGUGCCCAAGGCGGUGAGCUCUUCGACAGGCUUCUUAAUCACGGCCUCUUCGACAAAGAUCACAACCCGUCGGUGUUUCCAUCAGUUAAUCUCGGCCAUCCGGCAUUGUCAUUCUCUCGGUGUGUUUCUCCGGGAUUUGAAGCUCGAUAACCUCUUGCUCGACGAGGAUUUGAAAAUCAAGGUUUUGACUUCGGGUUAAGCGCCACGAUGGACCAAGUUCGACCCGACGGCAUGCUGCACACUCUCUGUGGGACCCCUGCUUACUUGACUCCCGAGAUGCUCGCGAAGAAAGGCUACGACGGAGAGAAAGUCGACGACUGGCAGUGUGGUGUCGUUUUGUACGUGCUCACCACCGGGUCUUUGCCGUUCAACGAUGCUGAGAAGAAUCUACGGAGAGAAAUGUUAAAGGAAAAGAAAAAGCAAGGCCAUGAACGAGAGAUAUAUUUAUAGCAAGCCCAAGGAAAAAAAAAAAGCUAUGUAGUCUAGUCAAGCUUGGCUAACCUAGGAGUAAGAAUCAUCUUUUUGGCCUUUAUAUAACACGCACGCGUUACAUUAUUCAUAAGCAUAGCAGAAAGAGAGAGAGAAAGAUGAGGAGAGAGAGUAACUGUCAUCCAUUGUUGAGAGGAGAGAGAGGAGAGAGGAAAUAUAGGCAUGGGUUCUCAGAAGGGGAAGUGAAGUCACUGGGAAGCAUAUGUGAAGUUGUGUUGCCAUCUUUGCCUUUGGAAGCUCUUCGCACUCAGACUCGUUCAAGGCCCCUUUCGACCUUCUGGUCCUCUUCUGCUUCUCGCUAUCCGACAUCCCUCAUGAGCUCCAGAGAUUGUGAGUUGCUCAUAGAAGUUUCAGUUCGAGUAAUCCAGUAGAGUAUACUGCGAAAACAUGCAAGAGCAAAAACAUUUGGAUCUGUGUGAUCAGAAUUCUGGAACAGAACACUCUGCUGCAAAUCUUCCCGUAGAAAAAUGUGAACUGCACAAUAGGCACUAGUUCUAUCUAAGCAUGGGAUAAAAUUAAGUUCUCUUUGUUCUUCCCGCUUCCCUUUUCUUCUCCAGCAAGAGAUUUUCCCUUUUUUUUUUUUUGUCUGCUCCUUUAAACCAGUUUAUAGAUAUUUGCUCGUUUUAAUAACUUUUCAGUAGCCAAUGUGUACUGUUGAAGGUCCUAACUCAUCAAUAUAUAGGAUACCUUUCCCUACAAGUAGUGUCGUCACAUUCAAGCAAAAAUGGAAAAAAAAAAAAUGAGAGCUUCUUAUUAAAAAAAAAAAGUGAGCAAACGAGCAUUCUUUAUAAGGGAUCUUAAAGUGGGGAUGUAUUUGCUUUGAAAUCAUUGAUAUAACAAAUCCCACAUAUACUGUAUAAAAUUUUACAAACUUGCUUCACCGAAACUCCUUUACAUGUCUUAUCUUUGCUUGGCCACCUUAAAUUUACAAAGCAACUUCUCACCUACAAAUCCAAUCUAGCCCUUGAGGUGGACUCUACACGAAGAGCAGCCCUCCACUUAGUUUUUGUAGAGGAUCACAUCCACAUCGUGAAGGAACUUCUGAGAACUAAUAGUGAGCCAUGCUUAUUUCUUGAUGAAGAAGGAAGAGUUUCUCUGCACUAUGCUGCUAUGAGAGGGAGAAAGGAGGUUGUGUAAGAGUUGAUCAAUGCCAAGCCUGAAUCUUUGAGGUUUUGUGACAAUGGCGAAAUUGUUUUUCAUUUGUUGUGACAUACAACCAUUUAGAGACUCUUAAAGCUUUAGUGGCAUUUGAGGUUUCCCACAUUGAUGAGACUCUCAAUCAUUUUACAAGCUUUGAUAGUGUUAAAAACACCAAUCUCCAUUUAUGUAUGAUAGGCUCAACUAGCUUUAACAUGACAGUGAAAUGAAAAAUGGUGUUUCCAAUACUAUUAAAGCUUGUAAAGUAGUUGAGAAUCUCAUCAAUGGAGGAAACCACUGAUUUCACUUAAGCUUUGAGAGUCUCUAAAUGGUUGUAUAUCACGCACAAAUGAAAAAUAGUUUCACUAUUGUCACGAUACCUUAGAGAUUUAGGCUUGGCAUUGAUCAACUCUUGCACUUAGGCUUGGCAUUGAUCA